CCGGGAAGGAGCUGUGUAGACCAAGGGUGAAGAUGAUGUUCUAUGAGGCACUGCCACACUGCCCCUCCUUGGCUUUCUGAGAAUGACAGUAUUGGUUUAAGUGGGCAAAUGCUGUUAUUUACACAGAGUUCUACCAUGUAUGCCUUCUGAGAUGCUCCAGAGGCACCCACUGGGUGUGCUUGUCACUCUGAUGUGUGAUAAAGGAAACACCAAGCCCAUUGCCUUCACUCGUCCAGUUUAGAGUACGCUGGAGAUAACUAUUUUAACAAAAAUCUUGAACAUUUUAAUGUGAAGCUUUAAAAUUAAGCAAAAGUUACAGUGGAGUAUAGUGGAAAUAUUGUCAUUUACAAGACUGGCAUAACAGAAAGUGUUAUUUCAGAAUAGCAUAAUCCUCUCUCUUUUAAAAUGGAUUUUCCUGAUGCUGCUGCAUCAGAUUGGACCUCAGAUUCCAGAAUCCGCAGCGCUGCCUCACCACUCACUCACAUGCAAGAGGGCAGCUGUAGGAGUCAAAGGACCUUCUGACAUCCAGAGCCAAUGCUGCCUUUGGCCGGCCGUUGGAACACUGUCAUCAGACAUGGUCCAUGUACUGAUGAGGAACCGUGCUUGGUGCUAAGCAGAGAUGCAUCGCUUCAAGCACAAGAGAGGCAGCUGGGAAGAUUGCUCUAGAGGAUUAUAAAGUCACAUCAGAAAUAGAAUCUUUGAGAAAGGGUGGAAGGUAAAAUCAUUUUCCCUUCGUAUAGCAAAUCUCAGCAUCUAAGACCCCCAGAUUUCAAUGGAAAUCCUUUAAAAGAGAUGAUAGAAGAAAAACAUCAGGCACACCUGUCGCAUCAAUAUCACUGAGCUAUGGUAAUAUCCGUGCAGUGACCUCCGGAUGGCCUCGUGACUGAUGGUAAAGCACCUGAAACCCAUUAGAGGAUUUUAUCAUCUUCAUAAAACCUGACCCCAAAGCAAUUUGUCAUUUGCCUUUACAAUGAAAGCAGGAGAAAUUUUUGUAAUAUCUGACAAUAACCAAGAUGGACCACGUGGGAAUAAAGAGGAAGACAAGUUGCAGCGGGGGAUGACGUGCCCUUAGCCUGCCCUCUCAUGAAAUUCUCACAGGUUAAAUGAGCUGUGUCACUGUUGGAAGGCAGAAUAAGAAUCAGCAGUUAACGCAUCCAGAGCGAGAGCUGAUCUUUGGCGACAGGUGACAUGAAAAUGCAUUCUGACUUUCUAAGUUUUAUGCUAUGGGAACUAAGACUUUUAGGAGUCACAGGAAGUACAAAAGAACUCGAGAGUGCUCAAGAGAUGCGCUUUAUCAUCCAAGGGAGGAGUUUUCCUUAUUGUUAAAUUUAUUAAUAAUUCACCUAAACGUUUCCAGUCUAGGAGUUAUCUAACCAGUCUGUUUGUCUUUCUUGAUGGGAGCCUCUAUCUGCAAGGCUUUUGAACCCUGUGUCUCCUGGUAUGAGAAGAGAAUUUUGAGUUAAAAGACAGCAAGAGAACUUGCCCAAUAUCACCAUCAAACUAGAGACCUAAGCAAGCUGUGGAGACGAACUCCCGCGCCCGUGAGCUUCAGCCAUCACUGUCGCCAUCACUGUCAGCCUCCCUCACUGAAGACUGGAGACACCUGAAGAAGAAUGGGGCGCAGUUAUUGCCCGUGUACUGAGCGACAUCAAG
ensembl:lncRNA